rnacentral:rRNA from 1 species
UGGGGAAUUUUGGACAAUGGGGGAAACCCUGAUCCAGCCAUCCCGCGUGUGCGAUGAAGGCCUUCGGGUUGUAAAGCACUUUUGGCAGGAAAGAAACGUCGCGGGUUAAUACCCCGCGAAACUGACGGUACCUGCAGAAUAAGCACUGGCUAACUACGUGCCAGCAGCCGCGGUAAUACGUAGGGUGCAAGCGUUAAUCGGAAUUACUGGGCGUAAAGCGUGCGCAGGCGGUUCGGAAAGAAAGAUGUGAAAUCCCAGAGCUUAACUUUGGAACUGCAUUUUUAACUACCGGGCUAGAGUGUGUCAGAGGGAGGUGGAAUUCCGCGUGUAGCAGUGAAAUGCGUAGAUAUGCGGAGGAACACCGAUGGCGAAGGCAGCCUCCUGGGAUAACACUGACGCUCAUGCACGAAAGCGUGGGGAGCAAACAGGAUUAGAUACCCUGGUAGUCCACGCCCUAAACGAUGUCAACUAGCUGUUGGGGGCCCUUCGGGCCUUGGUAGCGCAGCUAACGCGUGAAGUUGACCGCCUGGGGAGUACGGUCGCAAGAUUAAAACUCAAAUGAUUGACGGGGUCAUAGCUGUUUCCUG